rnacentral:tRNA from 1 species
UCCCCUUUAGCUCAAUGGUAGAGCAUCUCACUGUUACUGAGAUGGUUGCAAGUUCGAGUCUUGCAGGGGGAG